UUCAGUGUCUGCAGAAAAGGUUAGCUGACAGUUAUGUUCUUUUUGGAAGGGAGGGGUUGGGCAAUGGAGGGCAAGGGCUGCUUCAGAGAGUCUGAGAAGGGACAGGCGUCAGGCAACGGGACACCAGCAAAUGCCUCCACACCCGGAGCCAACGCCCUCCUUCACUCCUCCCCAUAUGCCAUGGAACAGCUUGUUCCUGGUGACCGAAAGGGAAACGCAUGGCCAGAAGAGGAGGAAAGACAUUGCUGGGAGACCUGUUCUUCCUGCUGAUGACAGACACCAGCAAGAAGUGGCCCUAAAGAACAGCUGGUGACCCUGAGUGGGGUGCUCAGGAGAGCCAAGUGGCUCCUGGCUUGCUGGCACCCAAGAUGACUCAGGACCUGGGAGGCUGCAGAUGAAAUUAAAGAGACAAGCAGACCACUCUGAAGGAGCUUCCCCUCUGGAGUUGCAGGCAAUGCGUUGGGUUUUGAGCAUGGAUUGGUGAAUGAAGGCACACUGCCUGGUCUCAUGGAGCUCGCAUUCUGAUGGAGGAAACACUUAACAACCUACUGAACAUGAAGAUGACAAGGAUGAAGACCUUAAUGAUGAUCUGUUUCCACAUAAUGAAUAGUUGCCUUACGAGAUGGUUUGAAUAUUUGUCGCUUCCAAAUCUCAUGUUGAAACAUGACCUCCAAUGUUGGAAGUGGACCUAGUGGAAGGUGUUUGAAUCAGGUGGGCGGAUCUUUCACAAAUGGCUUGGUGCCUUCCCUAUGGUAACGAGUAAGUUCUCACUCUGUUAGAGACCCUGAGAUCUGAUUGUGUAAAGGAGCCUGAAACCUCCUUCUAUCUCUCUUGCCCCCUCUCUCGCCAUGUGACACCCCUGCUCCCCCUUCUCCUUCUACAAGGCCUUACCAGAAGCCAAGAAGAUGCUGGUGCCAUACUUGUAAAGCCUGCAGAACCGUGAGCCAAAGAAACUUAUUUUCUUUAUAAAUUACCAAGCCUAGGUAUUCCUUUAUAGCAAUGCAUAACAGACUAACACACCUUCUAGUAAUGGCAAAUGAUGUUGAGAUUUCAUUUAUGAUAAUGAGAUAUAUUUUCAUCUUUCGAUAAAUUGAAGUUUAAAAAGGCCAUAAAUAGAAAAUAAAUAGUAGAGCUGAUAUGUAAUUAUGGAUAAAAUCAUGACAGAGUGUUAGACAGAUGUCUGAGUUAGACUGGGAAGGUUGACUUAGACAUUUUGGAAUCUAUGAAAAGAGGACACAGCCCGAAAAGUCUAAGACAGUUGAAAACCAUUCAGACGCGCCGUAGAUCGUGAGUGUCGUAAAGGCUGCAGAAUGCUUCGAAUAACAAGAGCUAACAUGUGUGAUGUGUCAGGUAAUAUCCUGAGUGCUUUACAUCGUUCAUUUCAUCCUCGUAACAGCCCUAAGAAGGAGCAAUUAUUGUUAGUCCCAUUUUACAGAGUGAGAAACUCAGGCUCAUCAAAUUUGGAUAACUUACCUAAGGUCAAAUGGCCAGUAAGAGACAGACGUUCCAAGCCCAACUUUUAACCAUGAUGCUAGACAUCCUCCCAACUUGUCCUCUUUUUGCUUUAGCACCUUGGGGUAGGUGUGGGUAAAGCAGAAGGUUCCCGGGAGCUAUGACAACCAGAGUCAAAAUGCCCUUCUUUGAGACAAGCCUAAGAUAUCACCUGACUCUUCCCACUACAGCUGCUUCACUUCACAAGGAUAAUCAAAUCCUGAGUUACUGUGACCUGGCUUUCUUUGCCUUUGCCUUUUCUAAGACUCUCAGACUCUCAGACUUAUGGGAAAGAUUCCAGUCCCCAAGGGAAAGCUCAUGAUGCUUCAAAACCCUUAUGCAGAGCUCUGCUAAAUGUGAAAUGAGCCUUUCAUUCAUUCAACACUUAGCUUGGCCUGGAGUGCCCCAGGUACUGGAGAUACACAAUGAACAAGGCAAAUGCAGCCUCUCUGUUUCUGGGGAGGAAUGAUAAAUGCAUAAGUAGAUAAAUCAAAUAAUUGCAGGGAUCAUACGGUCAUGAAAAAAUAUUUCUGGGGAAUGAUGGGGUAUGAGGGAGGUCCUUGGGUAGGUGUCAAGGGUAGGUGAGGUUGAGUUCUGGCACAAAGGUUUGGAGGCCAGAACAAGUGUGGUGAGUUCAAGGGUCAAAAGUUAAAGGUCGAUGAGGCUUUUUUUUUUUUUCCCCAAGAUGGAGUUUCGCUGUUGUUACCCAGACUGGAGUGAAUGGCACGAUCUCGGCUCACCACAGCCUCUGCCUUCUGGGUUCAAGCAAUUCUCCUGCCUCAGCCUCCUGAGUAGCUGGGACUACAGGUGCUGUGAAGCCACUGGAGGUUUCCGAGGACCGUGACACAGUCAGACUUCUGUUGGGAAGCCCGGAGCUGGGAGAAAUCUGCUGAUGUCACAGGAGAGUCGGACCAAGAAGUUUCUGCACUUGGAAUAGCUGAACUCCUCCCCAGAAACUUCAAGAAAUAAAUUUUUUCCUUUCUAACACUCCCACCUAUGAGUCUUCUCAAAUAAACUCAGCUGGAAGAGUGCCUUGCACAUGUAAAGAAGCCCUGUUUCUAUCUCGUGGGCAGGACUUUGAAUCAGGGGCAUGCAAUUUAAUAUAACAUGUAGACCACUGCCAACCGAAGACAGGAUAGGUGAAGCUGCCCACGACCUUGGCCUGUUUCCUGCUCUCCUCCUUGGUAUUGCUUCUCUCCAGAGUCCCUUGUUGCUUGUCUCUUGCAGUAAUAGAAAAGCCCUCCUUGACCUCUGUCCCAAGAGUGGUAGACAGAACACCGUUCCUUCUAGCCAGGGGCUUCAGGGGGCAGCAUUCGCAGUGGAAACACAGCCUUGCUCAUGCAGAAAACCCCAAGAGAAAUAUCUCCCAUGCCCAGGCACUUAACCCUUGCAUGGAGGUUCGGAUGUCAAGAACGAGAGCCAGCACAUCCAGGAUCUGCUAAUAGAGUCAGCAGGAUUAGGCGAGCCCUAAAAUUACAUAGACUCUGGAGAGAGAGGGAAGAGAGACCACAGCAAGGCUUUGCAAGCACACUAUGUCACACUUAACGGAAACUGUCUUUCCAGCUGGAAAUGUUCACCCUUUUCCCAAAAUGUGGCUUUUCCUUUUCCCUACCCAUGGAAAAAAGAGCUACUAGCAUAUAAUUUACCAGGAGACCACCUGCUUCAAAACUGGAUUCCCAGGCCUCACCCUCCAAGGUCCUGAUUCAGUACGUGUCUGUUGCGAAUGCAAAUUUUAAGCAAGUGCACAAGAAACGUGAGAACUACCGUAUGAGAGGAACACAUUCUACCUCCCAGAUGAGAGAUGUAUGGGAGCCUAAGUAUUCCAGAAUACAAUGUUCUCCUCCAAAAGGAAAAUGGGGAAAGUGUACAGAACAAACCGAGAUUCAAAUCCUGGCAUCACCACUCCCUGGCUGUGAUAACUUGGGCAAAUUGCUGAUCCACUCAGAGCCUCAGUUUCCCCAUCUGUAAAGUGGGGACCAUCAUAGUACCUCUCUGGGUUGCAGUGAGGACUAAUGAUAUAAUGCAAGUAAGGUGCCCAGGACAAAUACCUGGCACACAGAAGGAACUCAAGAAGCAGCCGGCUCGGUAGCUCACGGUUAUAAUCCCAGCAUUUUGGAAGGCUGAGGCGGGUAGAUUACGAGGUCAGGAGAUUGAGACCAUCCUGACUAACAUGGUAAAACCUGUCCCUACUAAAAAUACAAAAUUAGCUGGACGUGGUGGCAGGCACCUGUAGUCCCAGCUACUCAGGAGAAUUGCUUGAACCUGGGAGGUAGAGGUUAUAGUGAGCCAAGACCACGCCACUGCACUCCAGCCUGGGUGACAGAAAAAAAAAAAAAAAAAAAAAGUGGCAGGUGCUGUUCUUUUUAUUACAGUAGUUACCGUAAUUAUUGCUAGUUUGUGCAGCAGCUUUCUACAGCAAGCCCCUAAGAUCCUCUGCUGGAGGACUCUCUUUGGCUGGAAAUAUGGGCUGGCUGGAACAUUUGGAGACUUCUACCAACUAUGGGUGGGCAUUGGUUGAUGGAUAUUCCAGCCCCCUCUUUCAUGGGUGGCAUGACCCAGAGGUAUACUUAUUUUAGAUUGUAUCCCAAUCCCCCCAAGUUGUAACCUGCUCUUUGAUACACCCAUUACCGCUGCCUUAACCCUCUGCCUCACUUCCCUACUCCUCUAUUGGUGUGGCCUGGGAUCACCUCUCAAUAAACUACUUGCCCUCACAUCUUCAUCUCUGGGUCUGUAGAAACAGGGAAGCCCAAUUAAAACAUCUGGAUUAUUAAAAGAAAUUCAGAACACCCACGUGGCCUUCCCCACAGCUCUCACACCAAAACCAAGCCUUCUGCCCCUUGGCUCCUUGUGCAUCUCUAGCUGUCAAUCCUGAAUGAAUUUGGUUCUCCAGAUGCUCCAUUCCCCAAGAGGGAAGGGAAGAGGUGAGGUAGACACAGCAGACUGCCCCCAACAAUGUGAAAGAUGGCAAACCUCCACACCAGAUGUGGGCCUGGAGGAGCCCCAUGUUUCAAGAUGGUGGCUCUGAAGGAUUCCCAGGCACCAAGGAAGGUCCUAUAUGGUUCCAGAAGCGGUCAAAAGUUUACCCUUUGGAAUUAAGCUGACCUGAGCCUGAAUCACAGGUCUGCCCUUCCUGGCAGGGCAAGAGAGCAUCUAAUGAAAGAAUGUCUGAGAAGUGCCACAUAGGCACCGAAUAGGUCAAUGCAUUAGCAGGCAGGGAUAAACCCACUCUGAGCGCACACAGGGAAUGCCCUGCCACCCUCAUAGAACCUGCAAACUUGGAAAGGAUUUAUUUAAAACUUUCACUGCAAAUAGUUAAUUUUUUUUUCUUUUAACUUCCAAGGCUUAAUAGGAUAAGCUUCAGUUAUUGGGAAAAGUUGCUUACAAGGAACAUCUCAGUCCCCCAAGGGAGCUGCUGUCUAAAUGAGACAUGAUCUCUGUCUGAAAAUGAAAUAUGUGAAUUUAUGUGGAGGGCAGAAUCUAGGUCUUCCUCAUGUUCUACCUUCCUUUCCCCCUUCAUUGAAAGGCACCUGGUGCUUAUUACCUCGUGGGUAAGUAUCAGAGAGAUGGGGGGAAAGAGGAGGAAAGAAAAAGAAGAAUGGGCAGAAGGGGAAAUGUGUCAAACACUGUGAAUUUAGAAACAUUCUAUCCCCAUCAAAACGUUUUUGAAAGGUCGUUUCUAUUUCUUAUAAAUCACAUCCCCACUGCCAUGUGUGCACCUAUGCAACUAUCUUUCAUAUUCUGCACAUGUACCCCAAAACCUAAAACGCAAUAAAAAAUAAGAAAAUUUUUAAAAAAUAAUAAAAAUAAAAAAAUAAAUCACAUCCCUGUUAGUUUGUGAAAUGCAAUAUUGCCCAGUCUGCAUUUCCUUCUUUCUUCCUGCCCUUCUUCCUAAUGUGGGGCUCGGGGCAAGGAUUUGGCCAGAAGCAAACUGGAUCUCCAUGGAUCUUACUCCAGGAACUGCAGGGGACAAAUGGUCUCUUUCACGAGCAGCUCUGCUGUUUUCUUGAUAGAUCUGUCAUGGCCCCCUGUGAAGCAGACACAAGCCUAGAGCCUGGCACGGAGCUGGAAUCAGAACGCUGGCGUUCACAGGAGACACAAGCAAGACCCCUACUAGGGAAGACCGUCGCGUCAAUUUCUCACUGCUCAUUGGGCGAUUCUAACCAAUGGAUAAAAAUUUGCUCUGAUCACUUCUGAUCUCUCAUUUCUCCUACUUUUUCUUGUUCCAUACUAGCUAACUUUAGAAUAAUCCAUCUGAGUAGGGCCCAGUUUUCCUUCCAGAGUGCAAAUGGAACAUUUUUAAAACCUGGCUCCUGAUAUCCAAUUGAGGCAACAUUAAACAAGCACAAACUUUGAGCACAGUGCUAAAUUACACAACCCGUUUCCCUGAACAACAAUCUCUUAAGAGCUGGAUAAUGUUACACCCAUGUAAUAGAUUAAAAGUACUGGACAUCUAGCUUUCGCUGGCUUACUUUUGUUAAUAGUGAAUAUCAAUUUACAUAUGGCUAUGGAAUCACAAUAUUGACGAGAAUAGGAAUAACAAUUAUUUCCCUUUACCA